ACUCAAAUGAAUUGACGGGGGCUCACACAAGCGGUGGAGGAUGUGGCUUAAUUCGAGGCUACGCGAAGAACCUUAUCCUGGUCUUGACAUGCACGGAUUAACCCCUGGAAACAGGGGCCACGCCCGCAAGGGUGGAACGUGCACAGGUGCUGCAUGGCUGUCGUCAGCUCGUGCUGUGAAGUGUCGGGUUAAGUCCCUUAACGAGCGAAACCCUUGUCACUAGUUGCCAGCGUUCAGUCGGGGACUCUAGUGAGACUGCCGGUGUUAAACCGGAGGAAGGCGGGGAUGACGUCAAGUCCUCAUGGCCUUUAUGACCAGGGCUGCACACGUCCUACAAUGGCGUGCACAAAGGGAUGCAAGCUCGUGAGAGUGAGCAAAUCCCAAAAAACACGCCCCAGUUCGGAUUGCAGGCUGCAACUCGCCUGCAUGAAGCCGGAAUCGCUAGUAAUCGCGGGUCAGCAUACCGCGGUGAAUGUGUUCCUGAGCCUUGUACACACCGCCCGU
rnacentral:rRNA from 1 species